rnacentral:rRNA from 1 species
UAGAGUUUGAUCCUGGCUCAGAACAAACGCUGGCGGCGUGCCUAACACAUGCAAGUCGAACGAGAAAGUUUGCUUCGGCAGACAAGUAAAGUGGCGCACGGGUGAGUAACGCGUGGGUAAUCUUCCUUCAAAUUUGGGAUAACUCGUCGAAAGACGGGCUAAUACCAGAUAAUAUCUUUUAAUCCUCGGUUUAAAAGAUCAAAGGUGGCCUCUAUUUAUAAGCUACUGUUUGAAGAUGAGCCCGCGUACCAUUAGCUAGUUGGUAGGGUAAUGGCCUACCAAGGCUACGAUGGUUAGCUGGUCUGAGAGGAUGAUCAGCCACACUGGAACUGACACACGGUCCAGACUCCUACGGGAGGCAGCAGUGAGGAAUUUUGCGCAAUGGGGGAAACCCUGACGCAGCAACGCCGCGUGAGUGAUGAAGGCCUUCGGGUCGUAAAGCUCUGUCAAGUGGGAAGAACCCGGUUGAUUAUAAUACAAUUAACCGCUGACGGUACCACUGAAGGAAGCACCGGCUAACUCCGUGCCAGCAGCCGCGGUAAUACGGGGGGUGCAAGCGUUAUUCGGAAUCAUUGGGCGUAAAGGGCGCGUAGGCGGUUUUUUAAGUCAGAUGUGAAAGCCCGGGGCUUAACCCCGGAAGUGCAUUUGAAACUGAAAGACUUGAGUAUGGGAGAGGGAAGUGGAAUUCCUGGUGUAGGGGUGAAAUUCGUAGAUAUCAGGAGGAACACCGGUGGCGAAGGCGACUUCCUGGACCAAUACUGACGCUGAGGCGCGAAGGCGUGGGUAGCAAACAGGAUUAGAUACCCUGGUAGUCCACGCAGUAAACGGUGAACACUAGGUGUAGCGGGUAUUGACCCCUGCUGUGCCGAAGCUAACGCAUUAAGUGUUCCGCCUGGGAAGUACGGCCGCAAGAUUAAAACUCAAAGGAAUUGACGGGGGCCCGCACAAGCGGUGGAGCAUGUGGUUUAAUUCGACGCAACGCGAAGAACCUUACCUGGAUUUGACAUCCCGGGAAUUCUCUUGAAAGAGAGAAGUGCCCUUCGGGGAGCCCGGAGACAGGUGCUGCAUGGCUGUCGUCAGCUCGUGUCGUGAGAUGUUGGGUUAAGUCCCGCAACGAGCGCAACCCUUGUCUUUAGUUACCAUCAUUCAGUUGGGGACUCUAAAGAUACUGCCCCGGUAAACGGGGAGGAAGGUGGGGAUGACGUCAAGUCCUCAUGGCCUUUAUAUCCAGGGCUACACACGUGCUACAAUGGGCUGUACAAAAGGUUGCAAACCCGCGAGGGUAAGCUAAUCCUCUAAAGCAGCUCUAAGUUCGGAUUGGAGUCUGCAACUCGACUCCAUGAAGCUGGAAUCGCUAGUAAUCGCGGGAUCAGCACGCCGCGGUGAAUACGUUCCCGGGCCUUGUACACACCGCCCGUCACACCAUGAGAGUUGGUUGUACCAGAAGUUGUUGGACCAACCCGCAAGGGGGGUAGGCACCUAAGGUAUGGCUGAUGAUUGGGGUGAAGUCGUAACAAGGUAA